CUAUUUGUGUGAUAAAAUAGAAAUUCAUCAUGAUAAGGGAAGAAUGGCAGGAGAGGGGACGGUAAAAUUAAUGAAUGUUUUCCGUAAACGGACUGUGAGAUAUUAAGUAUCGUAGGUAUAAUUUUUAACAGACUAUCCUAAGAAAGUUUUGAGAAGUUGGUGCAUGUUUUCUGACGAUAGAUUUUUAUUUUUAUGUUUAUCGGGUGAAAUAGCAACAAUUUGAUCUGUGUUUUUAAGAAAUGUGUACUAACCUUCGUUCAAUCCAUCAAUUUUUAAGGUCGGAAACAGAUUUUCAUGAAAUUAUUCUAUUGACGAACUUACAGCGUAAGACAUGAAUUAGGAGCGUAAAAGAACAACAGCGUAUUCAAGAUAUCGUUAGAUAAAAUAUGUAACUAAAUAACUGACGGAAAAUAUCUGAACUUAGUAGCUCACUCUGAACCCGAAUACUCGGCGAUAACCUAACUUCGCUGGAUCAACAAGAACAGCUGACGUGAGUUUGGCAACAUCAGAUUCAAAAGAUUAGAGAUUAGCCUCUAAAUUUCAAGUAUAAUUCGUUCAAACAUUUUCAAAAUUUACAAGUGGGACAUUUUAUUCAUAUCCUUUCCAAAUCCGCCGAUUGCUUGUUUCGAAUGACACCGAUCCUUCUUUGUCCAUGAGAAGUCAAUUCUAGAAUGUCGUAAAAGAAAAACUGAAGUUCGGGAUUUUGAAGAUGAGAGGAACGGACUUGGAAGCCUUCUCAUGUCCUUUCUCCUUCGUUGGCUGAGUAUGGGGAAGAAUUUACAGCCCGAUGCACCCCGUCCGAAUCAGUCUCAACCAAUUCAAGAUGGACCCUCACCAACAAGAGCACCUGGCGGCUCGGCUGUGGACAAAAGUGAUACCUGUGGCGGAAAUCCUCAAUCACCUGAGGAUAAUCGACCUACGAUUAGAGGAAUCAAGCUGCCAACCGUGGCAUACAUUAAAAAAUGGCUCCGGGAACAUGGCGAUGAAGUAGUAUCUUCAGACUCCUCCAGUGCUAAGUCGUGGAUAUCAACCACUACCGAGUUCACAUCCAGUGAUCAUGACGACUUACAAAAAAGCGAGGAGGGUAAUCAUACGUGGUCCUUGGACUCUAAAAUGGGCGAACUAGAAGAAAUGAUUGCGAGAGUCGCGGCUGAUCAUAAAUUUUUUGGAAUAGAUACUGAUUCUAACCCAAAAUCACCGCCAGGAGAAAAUAUAACAUCCGAUUCCAGAAAGUCGACCUCUGUUCCUGAGCACCCGGGAAACGCUAGUAGAGAAAAACUUCUUGCUUCUUGCAACCGCACUUGCGGAGAGUUACGUCAAGCGAUAGAAGAGCGGAAAUCGGUGGAGAGUCGUCUGUCCGAUGUUCGGGACCAACUGCAAAGUUUAGGAAGCUCAGCGUCUGACGAGGACCCCCGCUUGGAUGUAAACCAACCGUUACCAAACUCCAGAGCCUCACAGAAAACGAGUGAGUCGUCCCCGCGUUCAGGUGACUUGCGCCUUACAGAGAGGAAGGAAGACAGCGAAUCAGGAGGCCAGAUACACAAGAUCAUCAUCAACGAUCGCACCUUAGCUAAUGGGACCUAUGCAACGGAUGAUGAUUCGGCGGAAUCUUCAAAACAACAAGAGGUAUUAUUUGGAAUAUUAGAACAGCUCAAGGAAACGAAAGAGGUUUUAGACGAGUUCGAGCAAAAUUUAAAGUCAAAAUCAGAGAGAACCGAGAGAGAUUUUACGAAAGACAUUCAAACACGUCAGGUGAUAGCUCUGAUUGAGGAUGAAGGUGAUGUGAAAGGCAUGCGAGGCCAAAUUAGAAUAACGUCCUAUUCAAAUCCUGAUCUAACAGAAGGGGAAUCUCCGGAAUUUAGUAGGCAGGACAACUCAUUAGGAAAUGAAUAUUUUGAGGGUAACGUAGCUAUACCUGCUAUAGAGAAUCCCACUAUUGUACAACUGAAAGAGCAACUUGGAACGCAAUGCAGCCAACACAACAUGCCUCCUUCAUUACACAAUUUUGCAACCAUGGGAGAAGCACCGAUGACGUCCGAUAGAAAAAAUCGAAAUGUAAGACAUGAGUCUGUCCCAACUCCACGAGCAGCUGAGAAAACAGAGCAUCGCCGAAAAUCUUUGCCAACUGGCAUCAUGAGAUCUUUAGCAAAAGGUAUAUUGCAAUCUAUAUUAGCAUCUCAGCCGCUCACGCGGUUUGGCGUACAAGAAUCUUCUGUUGAUGUUGGAGAAACACUACCACAAAGCCAAGACGGGAAACGCGAAAGUGAAGGAAACUUACCUCUAGAUAGUCCAGAGAUCCCUGCAGUUGAUGGAGGGUGUAUUAAACGUAGGAUGGAUGUUGCAGAGACGCUUGCAGGUAUUAAUGAAGAAUAUAAGCAACUUCUGAAUUUGGCAAAUAUUUCUCCGGAAGACCAAGACGAUAGAGCACCAACUCAACAGAAAUCCUCUAUCCUGGAUGAUGAUGUGUUUUAUUACGAUUCCAUUGACAUGAUUGACACCGCAACACAACCCAAAGAAAACACUGGAUCUUCAUUGCCUAUCAAUGAAGGUCCCAAAUCCGGUAGUCUACAGCACUCUCAUGACCUAUCGUCGCAUUCAUCGACGCGGGGGAGAAGAUUCCUACUCCAACAAAUGCCUUUUUACUCAGAGGAACCCUCUUUUAAUGUUUCACGUGUAAUAAGUGACAGCAAUAAGGCAAGGAGAUCAUUAUUCCAACCGAGGCCAUUUUAUUUACAAGACUCGUCCCCAGUGAAUGCAGAUGGAAACCUGUCUCACGAAAUGUCUAAAUCGCUGGGAAAGAGUAGUUCAUCUAAAGGAAGGAUUUCAGGUCCGCACAGUAGACCAGCACCGUUCAAUUUCCAAGACGGGACAUUCAUUCACACAGAUGUGAAUGAUGAGGUGAAUUCGCGGGCCAACAUCAGUAUGAAUGGAGUGGGUCCCAUAGUGGUGCCUCAAAGUGCUUUUCAAAAUUUGCCAUCUCAUUUUGCAAGGGAGUCAUACUACGAACCUCGCAGAGCGGACCAUUUCAUAAGGCUCCCACAAGCCGGACCGAACAGGGUUGAGAAUGUGACUUUCGACUCGCCACAAUCUUUAUGGCAACAAUACACGAGUGAUGAGAGAGAAACCCAAAAUUUCCGGACAAUGAGCGAAUCGGAGCGUAGGAAGAUGGAGAGAAUGUUGGCGCCGAAUCCGACCAAUUGCAAAGAUUACCAGUUGACCUGUCGCUGGGAGCGAGUCCGUCAGCCAGGUCCAGAGCCACGUGAACUGGAUAUAUAUCGAACCCCUUUCAGAGACCCGAGUCCACAUUCGAUGCCCAAUAGAGUCCUUUUCCCUUCACAUUCGGGCCAAGUAGGAGGGACAUUCCCUCAAAGGUUCGGAAUUGACGCGAGGGAGAUCCACUCUGCGUACAUUCCUCGUGUUGGACAACCAGUGCAGCAUAUCCCCCUGCAAUCACGCACUGCUCCACCGCGUAUAGGGAUGGAGGACCAGAUGGAGCCAGAGUUCGUAGCCCCACGGUUGAGGAGAUGGCAGGUGCAACCAGAGCUCCGGGAAACUCUCGACGAGCAAGUGUAUGCGCGGGCACGAGAAGAGAGAAGACUUGCAAGAAUAGAAAAUUGCAAGAAAGCAUGCGAAGAUUGGUCUCUCGGCUCUUCGUUGACGGAAGAGAGUUUCAGUGGCAUGCCAUCACCACCGUCUGGUACUUUUGUGGUUGUUCCCAAUGAAACAUCACCGUAUUCAGCUCAAAGUGAUACAUACUACGAAGAUACACCGUCCGUAUAUGGUUUCGAUACUUUCAUACCGAGCAGCCAUUCAACGUCUCUCGUUCGGCCCAGAUAUCAACAAUAUGACUCGACCACGACCCACGAAAGUACUGGACUUAAUAAUGGCAUGCAAGGUCGUUUUCCUCCUAAUCGUAGGAUCGAUUUAGAGCCAAAACCGAUUUCAUCUAAAGUUUCUUCGAGGGCAUAUCUUUCAUGCCCUCACAUACCUUCAAUUCAUCAGCCUAUAGCUGUAGCGCAUGAUCUAAACGCAGUUGCAUUGUCCAAGACGCUUGGUAUUCACCCCAAUGUAACAGGUAGCGAAUACUUUAUUGCUGAAAGGGGAGGCAUAGGACGUAAUCGAAACCAACCAGGCACUAACGCUCCAGCGGUCAUGAAAGAAAGUCUCUCUUCAGGUGCUGUCAUUGCAUUUCCCAGAGACAACGAUACAUUUUUUCCUAACCGAAUGCACAGUUCGCUUCCUUGCCAUUCUGUUUCCACCAGGGAGGUUUCAGAUUCCAGACCAGUGCAUAGUACUCUUACACAUGGCCUCCGUGCUAGUCAUUCUCUUUCGUAUUUGAACCCACCGCGGGAUGCAAAUUUGCUGUUACAACCCUCUUCCUAUUCCGAAAGGCAAAUACAACAUCAUAAUUUACCACAGACUUAUUCUAAUUUUAAUGGAUCGCACAAUUGGCAGCACAUAUCUCCUCAGUUUACACCUUCUGCGAGGUACAUUUACGAUGUUCAAAAAUCACGCUCAAAUAAUGGUAGUCCAAGCAGCGCUCAUGAAAAUGCACAAUUUUCAUCACAGCACAACGGAACUUUUCGAAAGGUUACACACCAAUUUCCAAGUGUGAAUAGGAUCCCUCAAGAUACUGAUGCUUUGGAACGUUUUUUACAGAAUGGCGCCCAUACCCAUGAAAGUGGUGCGGAUAAUCAAGAACUACAAACGAUGUACAGAAGACUCGAUACGGCGCAAAGUACAAAUCCGUGCACUAAUGAGACCUUUGUGACUUUUAAUGCGCAGCCUGAGUCAGAAAGAAAAACGCCCUCCCAAAGUAUCAGUCCGCAACAAAAUUGCCCAGAUUCAAGGGUCAUUCCUGGAAUGUAUGACCAUUCGCCGCUUUCGCAGAAUAUGGCAGUCCGAUUAAAUACAAGCUCAAGCACGGAUGAAGGCCCUCAAGUAGACGGAAAGCAACCUCGAGCAGAUUAUCGGCCUCAACAAUACCACCCGUCCAAAUCUUUUUCGUGCGCUUUUCAAAUUCAUAAAAAAGCUCCUCAACCGUGCAUUCAUGGCACAAAAGAUGCAGGUGCUGACUCGUGCUUGAAUGAGUUUCAGAAUGAAGGUAAGCGGGGGAAAACAGCUGCGUAUUUGGAAAUCAAUUUCGAAAAAAGCGGUAGGAAAAGCGCUUCAUCAGUUUUUAAUGGCAAUAACACCGUUGGUCAGUCACCCUCAACCUACAUUCGCACUAUGAGGGAACCUCAUUAUAAUAAAGCUCAUGAUGAUUUCCUACCUUUGCCUGAAUACAAACCUCCUCCAAGACGUGUCAGUUGUAUUGACUCUACGCCACGUCACAACUACCCGUAUCCUAGACGAUCCUCCGGUUUGCCAGCUUCAACGUCGACUCCAAUCUCCCGCGCUCUUCCAUUUUCCAAUAGGGCUGCCAAUGAAUUCACCCAAUGCAACUCUCCUCGAGAUUUGAAGGAUAGUUAUAAGGUGAAAGACGGCAGGGACGAUUCCGACUCGUGCUCCGAAUAUUCCUCAUCUUUGUCAGACAAGGCACCAGUUAGGUCUCAUUCCUCAUCCAGCGGACCUCAUGAAGCGGAUUUCAUCCCUUUGCCACAAUUCCCACUAGAACUAUCGCUGAAGUCAUUGAGGCAAAUCGAAACCAUUAUUCAAAGGGGCAAAGUAAUAUAUCUCCAGAAAAUACUUCUACCUUCAUCCCUUUGCCACAAACUCCCUCUAGAACUAUCGCCGAAGUCAUUAAGGCAAAUCGGAACUGUUAUUCAGAGGGGCAAAGUAAUAAAUCUCCAAAAAAUACUUGUACCUUCAUACCUUUGCCACAAACUCCCUCUAGGACUGUUGCCGAGGUCGUUGAGGCACACCGUAAUAUUUCUCCAACAUAUGCACAAUAUUCUCCCGCUCCUCGUCUGA
rnacentral:lncRNA from 1 species